AUGGCUUGUGGGUCGAGGGGUGAGCACCUAGUCAGGUUCGACCAGCCGAGCCGCAGGCUCGGCGCAGAACGUCGGAGCGCAGCGACGGCGGCCCGAAGGGUGAGGCGCGCAGCGCCGAAUAAUCCUAGUCCCCCAGCCA
rnacentral:sRNA from 1 species